rnacentral:rRNA from 1 species
AGCGAACGUUAGCGGCAGGCUUAACACAUGCAAGUCGAGCGAGAACAGGGCUUCGGCCCCUAGUAAAGCGGCGGACGGGUGCGUAACACGUGGGUAAUCUGCCUUUUGGCUCGGGACAACUGUCCGAAAGGAUAGCUAAUACCGGAUAAGUCAGCGAGGGAUACCUCGUUGGGAAAGAUGGCCUCUCCAUGGAAGCUAUCACCGAAAGAUGAGCCCGCGGCCCAUCAGCUAGUUGGCGAGGUAAUGGCUCACCAAGGCGAAGACGGGUAGCUGGUCUGAGAGGAUGAUCAGCCACACUGGAACUGAGACACGGUCCAGACUCCUACGGGAGGCAGCAGUGGGGAAUAUUGGGCAAUGGGGGAAACCCUGACCCAGCCAUGCCGCGUGAGUGAUGAAGGCC